rnacentral:lncRNA from 13 species
CCAGACUCCCCCUGCUCCUCUCUGUGGUCUCCAGACUCCCCCCUCUCCUCUCUGUGGUCUCCAGACUCCCCCCUGCUCCUCUCUGUGGUCUCCAGACUCCCCCUGCUCCUCAGGGCUGUUGCAGCAGUCUUUGUGCACCUCAGGUGAACGGCUUUAGAUGGAUGGCUCCUCCAAGCCACUGGGGGCACUGUGCUGUGUAGGAUUUAUUUGUAAACAAACCAAACUGUAUAUAUGUUCAGCUGUCACUGACGUUGCAGACAUCAGUCACCGUGUACAAACAGUCAUGAUGUGCUUUUGUAGAUAAUGUUGAAGGUAAAUAUUUAAUGGACAAAAUGCCUUGACUUUGUUUUUUGAGAUGCGUUGUAAACAUUUGUUCAGCAGUUUUACUGAGCAGUGAAACUCAACAGCACUUGGUUUUCUUUGGGAGUUUGACCCUGUUGGGCUAGGUCAGUAACCAUAGUAACCAACCACAGCAGGAAGUUCACUACAGAGGGACUGAGUUUACAUGUGUUCUCACCCUCUGAUCUGUACUCCCUUCAAGUGUGCACUUGUCCUUAUAACAAUCCACUGCUUUUAAACCCAUGAAGGGCAGUGAGUUCACCCAGCUCCUCUCAGCUCAGUGUAUAUAUGGACACUGUUCUGUUGAUGGGUAGUGAGUUCACCCAGGUCAGUGUAUAUAUAGACACUGUUCUGUUGAUGGGUAGUGAGUUCACCCAGGUCCUCUCAGGUCAGUGUAUAUAUGGACACUGUUCUGUUGAUGGGCAGUNNNNNNNNNNUAAUGGACAAAAUGCCUUGACUUUGUUUUUUGAGAUGCGUUGUAAACAUUUGUUCAGCAGUUUUACUGAGCAGUGAAACUCAACAGCACUUGGUUUUCUUUGGGAGUUUGACCCUGUUGGGCUAGGUCAGUAACCAUAGUAACCAACCACAGCAGGAAGUUCACUACAGAGGGACUGAGUUUACAUGUGUUCUCACCCUCUGAUCUGUACUCCCUUCAAGUGUGCACUUGUCCUUAUAACAAUCCACUGCUUUUAAACCCAUGAAGGGCAGUGAGUUCACCCAGCUCCUCUCAGCUCAGUGUAUAUAU